rnacentral:lncRNA from 13 species
GUGACCUCAGGAUCCACACUGAGUAGGUGAGGGGGCUGAGCUCGGGGCAGGCAGGUAAUUUUCCCAGGUCAUCGAGCUAGCAAGCCACAAAGCCAGGAAUUUUAAUCUAGACCUGUCCGAGUCGUGGGUGCCCUCCUAACUGCCAUGUUGACACACAGCAUUGUCCCAGGUACUGCAGAUAGAGCAGCAGACAAAAAAAAGCCAUUUCUCUCUCUUGCUUCAUGGAACUUACUUUGCAGUGUGGAAGGUGUUAAUGUCAAUUACCAAGGGUUGUUCUGAGAACUGCACAAGUUAAUGCAAACAACGUACAUGGUGUAGGACUUCCCACACAACAGGUAAGCAAUAAAUGUUA